CGCUAGCGGCAGGCCUAACACAUGCAAGUCGAGGGGUAGAGUGCUUCGGCACUUGAGACCGGCGCACGGGUGCGUAACACGUGUACAAUCUACCUUUUGCUAAGGGAUAGCCCGAAGAAAUUUGGAUUAAUACCUUAUAGUAUUGUUUGGUGGCAUCACUGAAUAAUUAAAGCUCUGGUGGCAAAAGAUGAGUACGCGUCCCAUUAGCUAGUUGGUGUGGUAACGGCAUACCAAGGCUACGAUGGGUAGGGGUCCUGAGAGGGAGGUCCCCCACACUGGUACUGAGACACGGACCAGACUCCUACGGGAGGCAGCAGUGAGGAAUAUUGGACAAUGGUCGGAAGACUGAUCCAGCCAUGCCGCGUGCAGGAUGACGGCCUUAUGGGUUGUAAACUGCUUUUAUACAGGAAGAAUAAGGUCUACGCGUAGAUUGAUGACGGUACUGUAUGAAUAAGCAUCGGCUAACUCCGUGCCAGCAGCCGCGGUAAUACGGAGGAUGCGAGCG
rnacentral:rRNA from 1 species